rnacentral:misc_RNA from 1 species
UUGUAAUGAUUGUUUAAUCAAGUUUGUGCUCAGACAUUAGUUAAAACAAGAGUUUUUAAGUGGUCCUGCGAGGGCUCCGCCCGCUCAAACAGAAGCUUGAUGGGUGAUUUCCCUCGAGGCAACAAGUUGGAGUACAAUGGGUUGGAGGUCGGUCCCGAUUGGAAACCUUGCUCUUUUAAUGAUCCCUCCGCAGGUUCACCUACGGAGA